ACUGCACCUCGGUCGGCUUACGCUUUAUAAUUACGAUCCCUCCUUGUUCGAGGAACAAACUCACUCUUCGAUACACUGAAAACUAGGAAUUAAGAUUAUUCACGUGUAAAUUAAAAAAUAUAUAUGCUUUCCACAUUUUAAAACAUAAAUUGAGGAUAACUAUUCGCAAUAUAGUCACUAAAAAUAUCAGAAACACCAAAUGGCGUUUAUCUUUUCGCUGUUCAUGUCAAAGUGACGCGUACGAGUAUUUUGUUCAUAAUGCAGCACUGCACACUCAUAUCCAAAGGACCUGGUUGUGCUUAUGAAUUGAAUUCAACGUUUCACUGUGUGAAUAACUAUUUCCGUGCUGUGCGCGUGUGUCCCGACCGACUUCAUGUGGGGAACAGCAGCCAAAAAUCGGACAUUGGCACUUUAAAUUCUGCCCCGGGUCAUUCAGAGCGCACAGCCACGCACAAUGCAGAAGAAAGAGGAAGAGAGUUGAUGGAAUCUAAAAACCAAUGUAAAGAUAAUUCUGGCUGUUGCUCCAGUGAUAAAGUGGCGCUGGCGGUCUGUAAGGAGACGGAGAGAAACGAGGACUGACCUUCCCAGAUUGGAGAGUGUGAGCUCUGCCACGGUCCUCCACACCAUCUAGAUGACUGCUUCAUGUCACUUUUGAGUCACUGUGAGCAGCAUUACUGUAUGAGGGUGAUUGUGUGUGUGUGUGUGUGUGUGUGUGAGGUGGAAGUGUUGAGAAGACGCUUGAAGAUGCUGGUGGUGAUUGAAAAGUGAAAAAAAUGACCUUUUGCUUCUUUGCAUGCAACACAUUUCUGCUUGUCUGAUUCCGCACAAUAAAAAGCACUAUGAUAACAACAA